rnacentral:lncRNA from 1 species
GGGGAAAGUACUUCUGUGUAUGUGUUUGUCUUACUGGUUGAUAAAUAAAGUACUGUUUGGCCAAUGAGGCAGCAAGUUAGGCAGGACUAGGAGUCAAGGAGGAUUCUGGGAAAUGUAGUAAAGAAGUGGUGAUCCACGCAGGAAGUGACACAGCAAGGAGAUUCAUAAACAAGGGUAAGAAGGAAGUGGGCCCCUUUUCUCUUCCUCCUGGUCUCUGCUCUGGAGUUGCCAUGUGAUCCUUGGGCAAGAGAGGGCGCCAGCGGAAGGCAUCCUCUAUAAGAUGAAGAACAUGACAAAUUACAAAAUGAAAGUCUUCGGUCAUACAGCUAGAAUUCUUGAGUGUAUGCACAAAACUAAUUUCCAAUUCUCAUCUUGUUCAACAUUACUCAAAAAGAAAUUUUCCGAUCAAUUUUGCUAUGUGUUGAGAAUUCAACCCCAACUCAGUUUCCUUCCAGUUUUCCUUUCCAAAGAGCAAAGGCUCUUCAGUUGUCAGAAUGAUUACCUGGAUUGAAUUUUGCAAGAAGAACCACCAAUCAAUGAUAAUUGUUCUUCCUGUGAUCAAGUCACACAAUGAAGUAACUUUUCCUCCAGUGGGAAACACUCAGAGCCUUCAUUGCUCUGUGACCAAGAAAAUAAAUUCCUUCCCAACAGCCUCCUCCACAGGCUUAUCAGAAUCCAGUCAACUCCUGAUGCUUUUAUUCCUUCACUGCCUUUGCUUUUAUCCUGUUGCUUUUUCUGAAAUAACAUUUCAAGUGAUUAAAGCAUAUUUACUUAUCAUAGAAAAUACACAAGAGAAAGCUAUUAGAUAAAAACGAUCUGUAAUUCCAUAUUACCUGUUAACUUUUUAAUGUGGUUGUUAGAAUCCUGUUUCUAUGCUGUUAUACACUGAACUCUAAGAUACUUUGAAAUAAAUGUUGAAAGAUGCUGUGCAAUUUACUCAUAUCUACUUUGUACUAGUUUUUUUAACAUAGCUUUUUUCAUUCUAUAAUUUUUCUUCAAUAUUUCAAUAAUUACAUAUUAUUCUAUUUCCAUGUAUAAGAAUGGAUUUCACAAUGUGUUGUUUUUUACUUUUCCUUUCAAAUGUAAUGUAACUGAAACAUACUUGUAAAACUUAAACUCAUAGAUCUAAGAGUAAGAUCAUUAAACACUUUUAUUUUGCUAAGACUUCCAAGAUGUGAAAAAAGUAGGUUCUACAUUAAUAAUGUAAGAGGAUGCUGUUUAUUACUGUUGAGAGAGUAAUUCUUUAUUGUUUUAAUUUAUGAAUGUUAAUUGGUAAUAAAUUGACAAACAUUAAAACUUUAUAUACUUAUUUUGUGAAUUUUCACUUGUAAAAUUGCUUCUUUACAACCACUGUCCAGUUGUUUUGUUUUUCUAAAGUAUUUAUCCUAUUGAUUCACAAUGUUCUUUAGGGAUGAGUUGAUUAUACAUGAACCCAAAACUGGUAUAGAAUUCACUGAGUAGCAAAGGGUGUCUUUGAACACCUAAUCCUAAGACCUGACCAGGGGGGUU